GGCAACCGCGGUGCGGCGCGGCCGGGCCCGCCUCUUACGCAAGAGGAGGGCGCAGGAAGCGCCGCCGCCGAGAGGCCCCGGGCCGGUGCCCAGCUGCUGACCCAGCCCGGGCCGCUCAGGUUGCGGCUAGAGGCCCCGAGAGCUGGCCGAGGAGUAGAAAAAUCGACAUGCCCAGCUAGAGCCCAGGAGAUGAAAGGGAGGGAAGUGCGCCGCGGGCAGCGGGAUUUACGAGGAAGGUGCACGCAGCUGUAACACAGCGCUUGCCAAGAGACUUAGGUCUUCCUUCAGGAAAACACGACCAACAAGCUGCACGCUGCCCCGCAUCCCCACCAACGAGUACCUUUCACAAGGAAGAAGCCUGCACCCAGCAGAACGACCGCUGCCUGCAACAAGCCCCAUGGUUCCCUCGAUGCGCAGCUGCAAGCCAGGAGGGAUCACACAGAGCGAUGCAUGCAUGUUCUUUAUCCACUGAUGAUCCCUUCCGAAACCAACUUUAAAACGCUGCAGCCAGAACGUAUUUCUGCCACUAACGGCCACAGAUAAGACGGCUGCUUCUCAGUUCAGAUGAGGUUACAGGCACAGGCUGAGGUCUCUGCCUGUUGGACAAGUGACACCCACCUGCCCUUGAUGUCUCCAAAACUUCUGACAAAUAGCAUAGGGAACAAGUUCCUUACCUUACAUACAAACAUUACAGUUCAGUAAUGUUCACCGGUGAGAUAAAACGGCUGCAACUGUGUCAGUUUCUCUUUCACAACACACCACCAGGGCUCUUAGCUGCUGAUUUCCUACAAGGAAAUUGUAUCCUCUAUUGGAGAUAGAGACCUUACUAAAUAGUGAAUCCGUGUUUUUUGCUCUCCUUGCUGUCAUGUAGGAAUACUGUGCCCCACAUACUAAGCUAUUGCUUUAUUUAUGUUCUUUAUACACGCAGAAAAAGGGACUUUGGGAAACAGUUUGCACCAGUUUUAGACUCAGCUAAUCAGAGUUUUGGAUGAGUUUUAUAAUGGAGAGUUUUGAAGGCAAACAUUUUUAUGCAACUCUUCUGUUCCUUCUUUCCUUUUGGGUAGAUAGCCUUGAUAGGAGAACUUGUGGGAGGCAGACUGAUCUACUGCAGGCCUGGAGACAGAUGGCAAAGCACCCUGCCAGAAUGUUAUGUUAGGAUCAAGGUAUCUCCCAUUCUUGUUAGCUAUGUCUAAGUGCUAUGGCAGGCAGGAGCAUCUUUAUUACCCCCUUUACCUCUUCUCCUCACCUGCAGUAAUUAGCACUGCUCAGUCUCAAGCUAAAGGCUCCGCUACCUUCCUGCAAACCUUACUGUCAUAAAUAGGUAGGGACAAAGAAGUAAGGAAGAAUCUCAGGCAUCUGUGCCUAACCAAACCAUUUACCUUUCAGGAAAUAAUGGUUUCACCAUGCUCUUGCAGUUAGGUAUGGGACCUGGACAAAAUAAAUUAAUCUGAAACCCUAAUGCUGUAACUGCCCCACCAUACUUCUCUAGGCUCUUCAAACAGGAAACUAAAGCCCAAAGAAGUAGGUUAAUGAUCAUGAAUAAAUAAUUUUCUUUCAUAAAAACAUUUAAGGAAGGCCACCAUCACCCUGCAAAAAAAAAAAAAAAAAGACAGUUUGUUCAGCAGCCUGUGGGUAGUAAAACUACCCCAAGAAUUUCAAAUGUGCAAAUGUGACAGGACUGCUGCUAAAUCAGAAGAGUAAUGGAAAAAGGGGCAUAAGUUAGAUGUUCAAAGUUUUUUCUCCACUGUUCUCAUGGUUUAAAUACUUACAGGCACAAAAUUAACACAAGUAGCAUGAAGAAAUAAAUGAGUUAAUAGCUACAGCCAUUGCUCUGAGGCACAAACUAGAACACAGGAAGUUCCAUACAAUCACGAGGAAGAACUUCGUUACUGUGAGGGUGACAGAGCACUGGAACAAGCUGCCCAGAGAGGCUGUGGAGUCUCCUUCUCUGGAGAUAUUCAAAACCCACCUGGACACCUUCCUGUGACCUGCUGUAGGGAAUCAGCUUUAGCAGGGGGGUUGGACUGGAUGGUUUCCAGUGGUCCUUUCCGAACCCUACAAUUCCGUGAUCACUGCUGUGCAAAAAACCUCAAAAUUAACAACAAAGAGAUUAUUCAUACUGAUCUAAGUUUGUAAAACAAAUGUAGGAAAAAAAAAAAAAGACCCCUUACAUGAGAUCACAGCGGGGCCCAAAUGGCUACUCUCUCCUGUGAAGGAAGAAAAUUGGAUGCUCAACUAAGUGAGUUUUCACUCAGAAGCAGAACCAUCAAGACGUUGCUUCUAAUGCCACCGAUUCACAAAAUGGAGAUUACCAUGCAGGCUUCUCUCCCCUCCCCCAAGGGGCACAACACUAAGGAUGCCAAGUGUUUUCAGUCAUUAGGCACUAGGGACCACAGCACUUCUGUUUAUCUACCUCUUUCUUGGAGUAAUGUCAUGGCCUAUUACAAAAUUAACCAGUAAUGAAACAAAAACAGAUUACAAAGUGACAAUCUCCAUUUUCUAAAGUUGAAAACCCAACCUCUUCCACCAGAGUGAAAGUCCAGGUGAUGAAAUAAACCUUGAACUGUGUCCCACUGUUGAGCUACUCAUUGCUUUUCGAAACAAAUGAGUGCCUCAUCCCAGACACUGCAAUUUAGCAAUUUAAUCUGUACACGUGUCCUGAUGACAGAUGUCAUGAAGAGAGAGCAGAGAGCCAGCAGCCAAACAAGAGUUUCCCUGAUCAAUGCCACUGACUAGAACUGCAGUUGAAAUCAUAGGGGAAGCCGGAGCUUACUGGAAGAGCCCUGUAAUGCAAUUCCAGGCAGAGCCAGCAGCAGCAGCAACAGGGGGGUGGUAGUCUCCUGCAGUGGGUCUCAUGAAUAUCCAGCAGUCAUCCAGAUAGUAAGUGAGGUGGGUAAUAAUGAGGAGGAGCUGUUUACCAUCUACUUGUCCAGCAUAAUUCUGCCUGCACCAUCUUGUUAGCUGUCCCAGUGGUUUCCAGUGGUGCACGAGCAGGAGAGAUAACAGAGAAGAGCUCUGAACUGCAACUCACAGACAGGGAGGACAGGGGUGGUGAGGGCCACAGUCCUUUUACCUUCUGAGUUCCCCCAUAUUAAACAUAGGUAUCUUUCAUAUACAUUUUGAUUAUCAGUCUCAUCUCAGUUACUUCAACUAUUGCUGAAUUCUAAAUUCUGUUUUCAUUAAAAACUGAAACAAAAUUUGUGCAUUUCUGAUGUGUAACAUACAGCUGUCACAAGUGACAACACUGCAGAUACAGGAAGAGAGAAUUAAUUAAGUAUUUUUUCAAUUUUCCAUUUCUAAAUAACAAAUCCUGAAAAUAAGAACUCGGUAUGGUAUGCAGUCUUCACCCUAAGUCAGGUAGCAAGACAUGGUGGAAAAAUAUGGCACUUUGUUGGAACUGCUGUAAAUAUGACUGAAUAAAAAGUUUUACCUGGUUUUGAAAAAAAUCUCACAUAGUCUAUCCAGUGGUUUUGUCCCAUUACACAAUGGUUAAAACCAGGUAUAAUGCAAUUUUGAACCAUGCUCACACAAGGUAUCUCACCAAGUUUAAACUAUUAUUUAAACUGCAGUAUUUUUACUACUAGAGAAACCUAACAGAGGAGCAACAUGCUUGGAACAUCUGUCGCAGUGAUUGAAAGAAGUCUAUGACAGGAAUAGCAAACACUUAUUUUCUUUUCUGAGAUGCUGUCAAUCUGUUGAAGCAAAGUAUCAGUAAAGUAGAUUGUCUAAGAGCUAACUCACAUUGGCCUGUCUCCUCCCAGACAAAGAUGAUUAAAAUAUUCCCCUGUUGUAUAA